rnacentral:rRNA from 1 species
UACGUAGGGGGCUAGCGUUGCUCGGAAUCACUGGGCGUAAAGGGUGCGUAGGCGGGUUUUUAAGUCAGGGGUGAAAUCCUGGAGCUCAACUCCAGAACUGCCUUUGAUACUGAAGAUCUUGAGUUCGGGAGAGGUGAGUGGAACUGCGAGUGUAGAGGUGAAAUUCGUAGAUAUUCGCAAGAACACCAGUGGCGAAGGCGGCUCACUGGCCCGAUACUGACGCUGAGGCACGAAAGCGUGGGGAGCAAACAGGG